GACGAACGCUGGCGGCGUGCUUAACACAUGCAAGUCGAACGGAAAGGCCCUGCUUUUGUGGGGUGCUCGAGUGGCGAACGGGUGAGUAACACGUGAGUAACCUGCUCUUGACUUUGGGAUAACUUCAGGAAACUGGGGCUAAUACCGGAUAGGAGCUCCUGCUGCAUGGUGGGGGUUGGAAAGUUUCGGCGGUUGGGGAUGGACUCGCGGCUUAUCAGCUUGUUGGUUGGGUAGUGGCUUACCAAGGCUUUGACGGGUAGCCGGCCUGAGAGGGUGACCGGCCACAUUGGGACUGAGAUACGGACCAGACUCCUACGGGAGGCAGCAGUGGGGAAUAUGGCACAAUGGGCGGAAGCCUGAUGCGACAGCGCCGCGUGCGGGAUGACGGCCUUCGGGUUGUAAACCGCUUUCGCCUGUGACGAAGCGUGAGUGACGGUAAUGGGUAAAGAAGCACCGGCUAACUACGUG
rnacentral:rRNA from 1 species